AAACCAACAGGGAUUGCCUCAGUAACGGCGAGUGAAGCGGCAAGAGCUCAAAUUUGAAAUCCGGCCCCCCUGGGGGCCUGAGUUGUAAUUUGCAGAGGAUGCUUCGGGCGCGACCGCGGUCCAAGUCCCCUGGAACGGGGCGUCGUAGAGGGUGAGAAUCCCGUCUCCGGCCGGCCGGUCUCGCCCGUGUGAAGCUCCUUCGACGAGUCGAGUUGUUUGGGAAUGCAGCUCCAAAUGGGUGGUAAAUUUCAUCUAAAGCUAAAUACUGGUCGGAGACCGAUAGCGCACAAGUAGAGUGAUCGAAAGAUGAAAAGCACUUUGAAAAGAGAGUUAAACAGCAUGUGAAAUUGUUGAAAGGGAAGCGCUUGCGACCAGAGUCGGCCGCGGGGGUUCAGCGGGCAUUCGUUGCCCGUGCAAUCCCCCGCGGCCGGGCCAGCGUCGGUUUCGACGGCCGGUCAAAGGCCCCCGGAAUGUGUCGCCUCUCGGGGCGUCUUAUAGCCGGGGGUGCAAUGCGGCCAGUCGGGACCGAGGAACGCGCUCCGGCACGGACGCUGGCUUAAUGGUCGUCAGCGAC
rnacentral:rRNA from 1 species